AGGAGAAAGGCCUCUGUAGAUGAGAAUUAUGAAUGGGAUGAUGCAGAUUUCUGCCCAGAGCCUGGAGACCAUGAUGGUCUGCUUCCUUCAUUGAAUCUACUGAAGCCUGCUCCGCGCUGCAGCCUUCCCAGCAUACAGCGCUCCACUAAGGCACUGAAAAAUUACACUCAGCUUUCUUUGCUCCAGGGGCAUCAAAGCAGCUGCUCUGCUGAGCCAGAACCAGACACCGUGCUGUUCUGACAGCGCCAGCCUUCGGCUCAUCUCACCUGGUGUGUCUUUUCACGUAUUGACUCGCAUCAGAAGGCAACAAAAAGUGCAUGUGGCAGAAAGUGAGCCUUUGUGUGGUCAGUCGCGUUCCUUUUUUCAAAAGUUCAGGGUUUUUUUUUUUCAAGUGAAGGGUGUUCUGUUUGGUCCUUUUGUUAAGCUUCAAUUGAAAAGUAAUCAUUUUCAUACAGGUUUCAGUGAAAAGUACUGGAGACAGAAAAUCCCUUUGAAACUUAUGCAGAGCUUUCAAACUUUGUUUUUUCCUUUGUGACCCAAUGCCAUCACGCUUUUGACAUUUUCAUUUUCGAGGGGGCCUGUCAGUCUGCCAAUAUCAAAGCAUUCCAUUGUGGUGAUAAAUUCACCACGUUCUCUUGUGUAGUUGGAUAUGCAUUCAUCAUCCUGGAUGACUCAGUAGCUACACAAGGGACAAGACGACUCAGUCAUCGUCGAGUGACUCGUCUCUGCCGUGGAUGAUUACCUCUUUUUGAUAUCAUCCAUCACCUAUAGGUUUAACUAAAAGAAGUGUUUAUGAAAUGCCAACAAAUAAGGAAGAUGAAUAGAAUGUAAAAGGUUAUUCUGCUGCACUGUUACUGCUUUUUUCUUCAGUGUAACACUCCUUUCUCAAAGUGUAAUUUCCCGGUAGAGAUAGUUAUCUACUUUUUUUCUUGCCGUUACAAAAUGGGAAUUUUUAUCAUUUGAAGAAAUCUCCUCAGUCUGGAUGAAAGGCUUAGUUUCCUCCCUGUCCUUGGUUUUUAAUUACAUCCAGCGAUUAUAAAGGGUUCAGUCAA